CGCGGCUCCUCCCCUGCUCCCUAUCACAGUCUCUCCCUUUCCUCCCCAUCGCGGCGACUCCUCUGCUCCCCACCACAGCCACCUGUGUUAUCCACGACCCUCCUCUCCCUCUACACCUUCUCCACUGAAUCAAUUGAUGCCACUAUAAUCUUUGUGCAGUAGAAACGGAUGGAUUCAUGUCAAGAACAGAAACGUCUGGCUUUACUACUACCUUCUCAUUUGCGGGUAAUUGACGCAGUUGAUCUCCGCUUAAAGCAGUGGACCGACUCUGUUCCUGUCAUCUCCUGCCCACGUCUCUGCUCCGAAGUUCGUCAGGUUACGCCCUCCGACAAUCAUCGCCAUUGAUGCGACGAAUUUGAGUUCUCGGAAUGUCAUCGCUGCAUCCCUAGCCAUCGUCUCCCUUCUCCCUACAGAUUCCCUUUUGUUUGGUAGAACCUGAAUUCACGAUUCUGGUAAGAAUUCUACACAAAGGAUCAAGAAACAUCGAUUCGUCAUUCAUUUGGGGAAAAUAGGAAUCAAGAAUAAAAUGUUGUUCUGCUAAGACGAUCCUUAGUGGCAGUUUGAGAAAGAGCCACACUUCUUGCUGACGUUUGUUUGCAUUUAAGAAAGGUGCUAGAUGUGCUUCAGGUUUUAGUGUGUGUGUUUCUAUAUCUAAGUGAUACCAGUGUUUUACUACUAACCAUGAUUUUAAGGCAUAUCAAUGUGCUUCAGGUUUUCCCCAAACAUAAGUUUCCUCAAAAAUGUUUUGUUAU